GACGAACGCUGGCGGCGUGCUUAACACAUGCAAGUCGAACGGAAAGGCCCUGCUUUUGUGGGGUGCUCGAGUGGCGAACGGGUGAGUAACACGUGAGUAACCUGCCCUUGACUUUGGGAUAACUUCAGGAAACUGGGGCUAAUACCGGAUAGGAGCUCCUGCUGCAUGGUGGGGGUUGGAAAGUUUCGGCGGUUGGGGAUGGACUCGCGGCUUAUCAGCUUGUUGGUGGGGUAGUGGCUUACCAAGGCUUUGACGCGUAGCCGGGCUGAGAGGGUGAGCGGCCACAUCGGGACGGGGCUGCGACCCAGACUCCACCGGGACGCAACGGAGGAGAAUAUAGCACAAUGGACGGAGGGCUGAUGUAACACCGCCGCGUGGGGGGUGACGGGCAUCGGGUUGUAUACCAAAUCCCCCUGAGACGAGGCGUGAGUGACGGUAAUGGGUGAAGAAGCACCGGCUAACUACGUG
rnacentral:rRNA from 1 species